rnacentral:rRNA from 1 species
UACGUAGGCAGCGAGCGUUGUUCGGAGUUACUGGGCGUAAAGGGUGUGUAGGCGGUUGUUUAAGUUUGGUGUGAAAUCUCCCGGCUCAACUGGGAGGGUGCGCCGAAUACUGAAUGACUUCGAGUGCGGGAGAGGAAAGUGGAAUUCCUGGUGUAGCGGUGAAAUGCGUAGAUAUCCGGAAGAACACCGGUGGCGAAGGCGGUCUGCUGGGCCAAGACUGACGCUGAGGCGCGACAGCGUGGGGAGCAAACAGG